GCCCAAUACACCACAGUCAAAGAGACGCUGCUGAAACGGUACGCUGUGACCCCAGACACCUACCGAAGGCAGUUCCGCAGCACGAAGAAAAAAGCGAAUGAUACCCAUGCCGAAUGGGCACAUCGUAUGCGGAGAGCUGCAACCCAUUGGAUUACCGGGUGUCGGGCCGUCACGGCCACGGAAAUAUUGGAACUUUUCUUAUUAGAGCAUUUUUAUGAGGGUCUGGAACAAAAAGACCGGGAGUGGUUGAAAGACCGGCGUCCCGCUAACCUACACGAAGCAGCCCGGUUGGCAGACGAGCACCGGGAUGCGCAAGUACAGGAGUUCAACAAUGC